GCUCAGGACGAACGCUGGCGGCGUGCCUAAUACAUGCAAGUCGAGCGGACAGAUGGGAGCUUGCUCCCUGAUGUUAGCGGCGGACGGGUGAGUAACACGUGGGUAACCUGCCUGUAAGACUGGGAUAACUCCGGGAAACCGGGGCUAAUACCGGAUGGUUGUNUGAACCGCAUGGUUCAGACAUAAAAGGUGGCUUCGGCUACCACUUACAGAUGGACCCGCGGCGCAUUAGCUAGUUGGUGAGGUAACGGCUCACCAAGGCGACGAUGCGUAGCCGACCUGAGAGGGUGAUCGGCCACACUGGGACUGAGACACGGCCCAGACUCCUACGGGAGGCAGCAGUAGGGAAUCUUCCGCAAUGGACGAAAGUCUGACGGAGCAACGCCGCGUGAGUGAUGAAGGUUUUCGGAUCGUAAAGCUCUGUUGUUAGGGAAGAACAAGUGCCGUUCAAAUAGGGCGGCACCUUGACGGUACCUAACCAGAAAGCCACGGCUAACUACGUGCCAGCAGCCGCGGUAAUACGUAGGUGGCAAGCGUUGUCCGGAAUUAUUGGGCGUAAAGGGCUCGCAGGCGGUUUCUUAAGUCUGAUGUGAAAGCCCCCGGCUCAACCGGGGAGGGUCAUUGGAAACUGGGGAACUUGAGUGCAGAAGAGGAGAGUGGAAUUCCACGUGUAGCGGUGAAAUGCGUAGAGAUGUGGAGGAACACCAGUGGCGAAGGCGACUCUCUGGUCUGUAACUGACGCUGAGGAGCGAAAGCGUGGGGAGCGAACAGGAUUAGAUACCCUGGUAGUCCACGCCGUAAACGAUGAGUGCUAAGUGUUAGGGGGUUUCCGCCCCUUAGUGCUGCAGCUAACGCAUUAAGCACUCCGCCUGGGGAGUACGGUCGCAAGACUGAAACUCAAAGGAAUUGACGGGGGCCCGCACAAGCGGUGGAGCAUGUGGUUUAAUUCGAAGCAACGCGAAGAACCUUACCAGGUCUUGACAUCCUCUGACAAUCCUAGAGAUAGGACGUCCCCUUCGGGGGCAGAGUGACAGGUGGUGCAUGGUUGUCGUCAGCUCGUGUCGUGAGAUGUUGGGUUAAGUCCCGCAACGAGCGCAACCCUUGAUCUUAGUUGCCAGCAUUCAGUUGGGCACUCUAAGGUGACUGCCGGUGACAAACCGGAGGAAGGUGGGGAUGACGUCAAAUCAUCAUGCCCCUUAUGACCUGGGCUACACACGUGCUACAAUGGACAGAACAAAGGGCAGCGAAACCGCGAGGUUAAGCCAAUCCCACAAAUCUGUUCUCAGUUCGGAUCGCAGUCUGCAACUCGACUGCGUGAAGCUGGAAUCGCUAGUAAUCGCGGAUCAGCAUGCCGCGGGUGAAUACGUUCCCGGGCCUUGUACACACCGCCCGUCACACCACGAGAGUUUGUAACACCCGAAGUCGGUGAGGUAACC
rnacentral:rRNA from 1 species